rnacentral:rRNA from 1 species
AGAGUUUGAUCAUGGCUCAGGACGAACGCUGGCGGCGUGCCUAAUACAUGCAAGUCGAGCGAAUUUAUGAGAGCUUGCUCUCAUAAAUUAGCGGCGGACGGGUGAGUAACACGUGGGCAACCUGCCUAUAAGACUGGGAUAACUUCGGGAAACCGGAGCUAAUACCGGAUAAUUCUUUUCUAUACAUGUAGGAAAGCUGAAAGACGGUUUACGCUGUCACUUAUAGAUGGGCCCGCGGCGCAUUAGCUAGUUGGUGAGGUAACGGCUCACCAAGGCCACGAUGCGUAGCCGACCUGAGAGGGUGAUCGGCCACACUGGGACUGAGACACGGCCCAGACUCCUACGGGAGGCAGCAGUAGGGAAUCUUCCGCAAUGGACGAAAGUCUGACGGAGCAACGCCGCGUGAGUGAUGAAGGUUUUCGGAUCGUAAAACUCUGUUGUUAGGGAAGAACAAGUACCGGAGUAACUGCCGGUACCUUGACGGUACCUAACCAGAAAGCCACGGCUAACUACGUGCCAGCAGCCGCGGUAAUACGUAGGUGGCAAGCGUUGUCCGGAAUUAUUGGGCGUAAAGCGCGCGCAGGCGGUCCUUUAAGUCUGAUGUGAAAGCCCACGGCUCAACCGUGGAGGGUCAUUGGAAACUGGGGGACUUGAGUGCAGAAGAGAAGAGUGGAAUUCACGUGUAGCGGUGAAUGCGUAGAGAUGUGGAGGAACACAGUGGCGAGGCGACUCUUGGUCUGUACUGACGCUGAGCGCG